UCCCAAGCCUGCUCAUUCUUUACGCAGAUGUCCUUCAGCCCUCAGAGGUAGCCCUUCUAGACCCUGUGCUCAAGACAGCUUGUGUGGGCCUCUCUGGUGGGGGUGCUGUGACCGCCCGAGGCCUGGCCGGCCCCCAACCGGCCUCAUCUCACUCAUGUUCCUCAGGCUGAGGGAUGGAGCCCAGGGAAUUGGUGGAUCUCUGAGCCUUCCAGUGACUCCUGGAUGUGGCCAGCUCUGCCCUGCAGUCUCUCUGAGUAGGCUCCAGACCUAGGCUGGCUCUCUCCUGAGUCACUCUACUGCAUGGCCAUCAACGACUUGGCACCUCAACUGGACAGACGAGCCCGGGGGCACUCACAGAUUGUUGGGUACAUGAAUCCCUGCUGGUGGAGGCCUCCGUCUUUCUCUAGGGAAAAAGAAGUCAUGGACAAGCAGCCUUGGCUCCUCAGGGCCAGGCGCAUGAGUGCUCAGAAAUGCGCUAAACGUGUGGUGAAGGAAGGAAAAGGCUCUGGAUUUCCUACACUGCUCAUGGGACACAAAAUAGAAUGGUUGCCAGGGGCUGGGGGGAGUGGACAGUUACUGUCUAAUGGUGCAGAGCUUCAAUGUGAGAAGAUAAAACGUUCUGGAGAUGGUGAUGGUUGCACAAGAAUAUGAAUAUAGGGAUUUCCUUGGUGGCGCAGUGGUUGAGAAUCUGCUGCCAAUGCAGGGGACACGGAUUCGGGCCCUGGUCCAGGAAGAUCCCACAUGCUGCAGAGCAACUAAGCCCAUGCGCCACAACGACUGAGCCCAUGUGCCACAACUACUGAGCCUGUGUGCCACAACUACUGAAGCCCGUGCACCUAGAGCCUGUGCUCCACAACAAGAGAAGCCACCGCAAUGAGAAACCCGCGCACUGCAAUGAAGAGUAGCCCCCACUCGCCGCAACUGGAGAAAGCCCACACGCAACAGCAAAGACCCAAUGCAGCCAAAAAUAAAUAAAUAAAUAAUUUUAUAAAUAAUUUUUAAAAAGAAUAUGAAUAUACAUUUAAAAACAAACUUUAUUUUAAAAAAUGGUUAAAAUGGUGAAUUUUAUGUUAUGUAUAUUUUACCACAAUUUAAAAGA